CCUACGGGAGGCAGCAGUGAGGAAUUUUCUGCAAUGGGCGAAAGCCUGACAGAGCAAUACCGCGUGCGGGAUGAAGGCCUACGGGUUGUAAACCUCUUUUCUCAAGGAGGAAGAACUGACGUUACUUGAGGAAUAAGCAUCGGCUAACCCUGUGCCAGCAGCCGCGGUAAUACAGGGGAUGCAAGUGUUAUCCGGAAUUAUUGGGCGUAAAGCGUCUGCAGGUUGAUAUUUAAGUCUUUUGUUAAAUCUUUGGGCUUAACCCAAAACUGCAAAAGAAACUAUUUAUCUUGAGUAUGGUAGAGGUAAAGGGAAUUUCCAGUGGAGCGGUGAAAUGCGUAGAUAUUGGAAAGAACACCAACAGCGAAGGCACUUUACUGGGCCAGUACUGACACUCAGAGACGAAAGCUAGGGGAGCAAACGGGAUUAGAUACCCCGGUAGUCCUAGCUGUAAACGAUGGAUACUAGAUGUUGUGUGCUUUCGGGCAUGCAGUGUCGUAGCUAACGCGUUAAGUAUCCCGCCUGGGAAGUAUGCUCGCAAGAGUGAAACUCAAAUGAAUUGACGG
rnacentral:rRNA from 1 species